rnacentral:rRNA from 1 species
GACGUAGGGCGCAAGCGUUGUCCGGAUUUAUUGGGCGUAAAGAGCUCGUAGGCGGCUUGUUGCGUCGUCCGUGAAAACCUGUGGCUCAACUACAGGCUUGCGGUCGAUACGGGCGGGCUGGAGUUCGGUAGGGGAGACUGGAAUUCCUGGUGUAGCGGUGAAAUGCGCAGAUAUCAGGAGGAACACCGGUGGCGAAGGCGGAUCUCUGGGCCUUACCUGACGCUCAGGUGCGAAAGCUAGGGGAGCGAACAGG